AUUGAACGCUGGCGGCAUGCCUUACACAUGCAAGUCGAACGGCAGCACGGGAGCAAUCCUGGUGGCGAGUGGCGAACGGGUGAGUAAUGUAUCGGAACGUGCCCAGUCGUGGGGGGUAACGCAGCGAAAGCUGUGCUAAUACCGCAUACGAUCUAUGGAUGAAAGCGGGGGAUCGCAAGACCUCGCGCGAUUGGAGCGGCCGAUAUCAGAUUAGGUAGUUGGUGGGGUAAAGGCCCACCAAGCCGACGAUCUGGAGCUGGUCUGAGAGGACGACCAGCCACACUGGAACUGAGACACGGUCCAGACUCCUACGGGAGGCAGCAGUGGGGAAUUUUGGACAAUGGGCGCAAGCCUGAUCCAGCAAUGCCGCGUGCAGGAUGAAGGCCUUCGGGUUGUAAACUGCUUUUGUACGGAACGAAACGGUUCUCUCUAAUACAGGGGGCUAAUGACGGUACCGUAAGAAUAAGCACCGGCUAACUACGCGCCAGCCGCCGCAGUAA
rnacentral:rRNA from 1 species